CUCCUGGAAUGCUCCUGAUGCAGGACGAAUACAAGGUCUUUAUAGAUCUCCCAGGCAUAUGCAGUCCUCCUGCAGUAUGCCACAUAAUGCCCAAGAGAAUCCUGGGUCAGUCCUGGUUCAAAGCGAAUGACUGCUCUCAAAGUAAAUGUCUUCUCUUUUAGCUCCAGACUGGAGGGAAAUUCAAGCAAGGCAACUUCCUUGCAACUGCUACCAAGAGCCUUGCCUGUAUUGUUGUCCUGUGUUUUGAAUGAAGACGGACACUUGGAAGGAUUUUCAAUUGGCCUGAGGCAGAGAGAGUCAGGAAGUCUGAGUCCCUCUUCAGCAGCAGUCUGAAGAGAAGCCAUGCCACAGUGGAGAUGUGGCAUUGUGCAUCAAUUUGGAGAGCACCAGAGGUCAGGAGGACAGGUUUGAAUAUUUCCCCCAGCAGUUCUGCCCUCUGUGAGUAUACCUGUGGGUUCACACCCUGUGUUGUGAUGGUUUUCACCAGGUGGAGGAAUUGGUUCCCACGUUCAUAGUUCAGAACAGUCUUUUCAAAUGAAAAACUUUCACAGAAAGAACAGCAUAAGCAUUGAAAGACAGAAUCAAAUGCACAACCCACUUGUGUAUCAAUAUGCAGCCAUUCAGGACAAGGAGAGAGAUAUGAAGUUAUCUUUCUUUUUUUCGGUGGGACCGCUAAACCUCUCCAGUUUUCAACUGCACUGAGUAGAUGCAUCUGGCUCCGUUCCAGGAUGAGAUUUUUUUCCCCUUUUGUUUACUACUUCAGUUUGAGAAGUACUGCAGACAUUGUCAGGCUCUUUGACAGUCGUGGCAUCACACACAUCCUUUUCACUUUUUUGUUUUGCAGAGCAAAUCCGCAUGUUUCCCUCAAUGAAGGAAAGAUGA